rnacentral:rRNA from 1 species
GCCAGACUCCUACGGGAGGCAGCAGUGGGGAAUAUUGCACAAUGGGGGAAACCCUGAUGCAGCGACGCCGCGUGAGUGAAGAAGUAAUUCGUUACGUAAAGCUCUAUCAGCAGGGAAGAAACACUGACCUUACGGUCAGCAGACGGUACCCGAGUAAGAAGCCCCGGCUAACUACGUGCCAGCAGCCGCGGUAAUACGUAGGGGGCAAGCGUUAUCCGGAUUUACUGGGUGUAAAGGGAGCGUAGACGGUUACGCAAGUCUGGAGUGAAAGGCGGGGGCCCAACCCCCGGACUGCUUUGGAAACUGUGCGGCUAGAGUACUGGAGGGGCAGGCGGAAUUCCUAGUGUAGCGGUGAAAUGCGUAGAUAUUAGGAGGAACACCAGUGGCGAAGGCGGCCUGCUGGACAGUAACUGACGUUGAGGCUCGAAAGCGUGGGGAGCAAACAGGAUUAGAUACCCUGUA